UGGCUCAGGAUGAACGCUGGCGGCGUGCCUAAUNCAUGCAAGUCGAGCGAACGGACGAGAGUGCUUGCACUCUCUGAUGUUAGCGGCGGACGGGUGAGUAACACGUGGGUAACCUACCUAUAAGACUGGGAUAACUUCGGGAAACCGGAGCUAAUACCGGAUAAUAUUUAGCUUCGCAUGAAGCAAUAGUGAAAGACGGUUCUGCUGUCACUUAUAGAUGGACCCGCGGUGUAUUAGCUAGUUGGUGAGGUAACGGCUCACCAAGGCAACGAUACAUAGCCGACCUGAGAGGGUGAUCGGCCACACUGGGACUGAGACACGGCCCAGACUCCUACGGGAGGCAGCAGUAGGGAAUCUUCCGCAAUGGACGAAAGUCUGACGGAGCAACGCCGCGUGAGUGAAGAAGGUUUUCGGAUCGUAAAACUCUGUUGUAAGGGAAGAACAAGUACGUUAGUAACUGAACGUACCUUGACGGUACCUUACCAGAAAGCCACGGCUAACUACGGCCCAGCAGCC
rnacentral:rRNA from 1 species